UUGAACGCUGGCGGCAGGCCCAACACAUGCAAGUCGAGCGGAUGAAGGGAGCUUGCUCCUGGAUUCAGCGGCGGACGGGUGAGUAAUGCCUAGGAAUCUGCCUGGUAGUGGGGGAUAACGUCCGGAAACGGGCGCUAAUACCGCAUACGUCCUGAGGGAGAAAGUGGGGGAUCUUCGGACCUCACGCUAUCAGAUGAGCCUAGGUCGGAUUAGCUAGUUGGUGGGGUAAAGGCCUACCAAGGCGACGAUCCGUAACUGGUCUGAGAGGAUGAUCAGUCACACUGGAACUGAGACACGGUCCAGACUCCUACGGGAGGCAGCAGUGGGGAAUAUUGGACAAUGGGCGAAAGCCUGAUCCAGCCAUGCCGCGUGUGUGAAGAAGGUCUUCGGAUUGUAAAGCACUUUAAGUUGGGAGGAAGGGCAGUAAGUUAAUACCUUGCUGUUUUGACGUUACCAACAGAAUAAGCACCGGCUAACUUCGUG
rnacentral:rRNA from 1 species